rnacentral:rRNA from 1 species
CAUGAAGCUGGAAUUGCUAGUAAUCGCGGAUCAGCAAGCCGCGGUGAAUACGUUCCCGGGCCUUGUACACACCGCCCGUCACACCAUGGAAGUCUGCAAUGCCCGAAGCCGGUGGCCUAACCACUUAUGUGGAAGGAGCCGUCUAAGGCAGGGCAGAUGACUGGGGUGAAGUCGUAACAAGGUAGC